rnacentral:rRNA from 1 species
UACAGAGGUGGCAAGCGUUGUUCGGAGUUAUUGGGCGUAAAGCGCGCGCAGGCGGCCUCGCGCGCCCGACGGUGAAAGCCCCCGGCUUAACCGGGGAGGGUCGUUGGGGACGGCGGGGCUUGAGGGCGGGAGAGGUCGGUGGAAUUCCCGGUGUAGUGGUGAAAUGCGUAGAGAUCGGGGAGGAACACCUGUGGCGAAGGCGGCC